CCAUCGAGUCCCUGGCUUCAACAAUGAUUUCCAAAGGCUUGAGCAAUCACUACUGAGAGAGAGGAGCUGGGAUUCUGAUUAAGUUGCCCCAGUUGGGAAAGAUCUAGAAUCGUGCCAAAAGGUUUCCAGGACUGAUAGGCAUUUAAAAGUGAAAACAGCUCCGAGUCUGCUUGGGAUUCAUGAGCAGAGCUCCGGAGAGGAAAGAAAAAGAGCAUAGGAAAAGUAAGCGAGGCCCCCAGGAUCGCACACCUGGUAUAAAGGACGCUGACAUAAACUCCGUCUGACUCCAGAGCUCUUUUUUCAGCAUGAUCCUAUUCUGUCUCGCCAGUGGAUUGGCAGAUGUCAAUCUCAGUCCAGAUGCUUCCGUAUCAAAAGCUGAGCACAUCAGAACACUGAAGAGAGGCAUCAUCACACACAUUAUCAUAUCGCCUAUUCAUAAUCCUCCUUUUCUGCCCCAUGUCUUCUCAUAGCAGAUAUAAAUCACAGAGCAGCUCUGCGGAGUUAUGGGGACAACCAGCAUCUCUGCCCUCCCAAUCCUGAUGGGAGCUGUUCUGCUGUUUCAACAUGAAGGAAGACACGGGCUCUCCACUUGAGAUGCUUCGAGUUGAGUAGCCUCCUGUGUCUGUCACUUGUCCUGUUGCUGUGACAGAAUACCUGACAACAAGCAACUUUAAGGGCAGGCUCAUCUGGGGGAAGGACUGGCAGCAGGCAUUUGAGCAGCUUGUCACGUGGCAUCUGCCGCCAGGAAGCCGGAAGAGGCGUACAGCGAUGCAAUGCUCACGUUCCACCGCUGAUUUGUUCCAGGACCCCACCAGUCCUUGGAAUGGUGCUGCCCAUAGUUAGAGUGGCUUCCUAUCUCAGCUCACCUAACCUAGAAAUGUCCUCACAGGCUUGUCACACCCAGAGGCUUGUCUCCCAGGUGACUCUAGACCCUGUUGAAAAUCACUAUCAGCCAUCACAGUCCCAGCCCUCGUUUCCUCUGAAUGUUUCUUUUUCCCGAUCAUGCAUGAAUAUUGCAUUUUUUCUGAAUGCUUUUUGUCAUCUAUUGCUAAUUAUCAUGUGGGUUUUCACAUUGGAGACAUGGAGAAGCUGUCAGGAUAUUAACAGAUUUCCCCCACCCCAGCCCACCCCCGUAAUACUAACCUGUCCUUGCUUCCCCAGAACAAGACUGGUUUUGUUGUGGUAGAUUGCUUCCUAGGUGCUUUGUUUUGCUGUUAUUAUAUUUUGUCCUUUGAAAGUU